rnacentral:lncRNA from 13 species
UGGGAGGCUGACGGCCUAUUGUAUUCUGCACAAUAAUGUUUACAAUAUUCUCAAUCAAAGUGGUUAAGAAUGCCUCAGGAUAUGUUAACAAUACAUAAUCAUGUAAUCAUUGGGUUAAUGAAACCUGUAGUCCUAGGUGUGCCCUAGUUUAUCUGGCUGGGGUGGGCAGGAGGACCACAUCAGGCAUCUUUUAUUGUAGUCUACCACCUAUUUGAAUGAUUCCCUGAAACCUAUACCCAGAGAAUCCAAUUUCGUUGGUAAUGUCUUCAUACAUUCUUCCCUUUAAAAGGACUCAAAAAAUAAUACACAAGCAAAUAAAUCACAAGCAUUUGUUUUCAGCUAAGUGACUGGCGGUUUACAUCAUAAGGAUAAUAUCUAUUCAAAAUGACUCCGCACUGACAUUAAGGAAAAACUGGAUAGAUGAUUGUGUCGCUAAAUUGAUUCGAUGACUCACACAGUGGUCAUCUGUGGUUUCUCUGUCGAUAAUCUGGAUUUCUCUCCUCAGUAGCCUAUCACCUCUACCCCAGCCUCUCUCUCUCUCUCUCUCUCUCUCUCUCUCCGCCCCAAAACCGAGAGCUAGCUAUUGGCUUGCGAGGUUUAAUUAUUUCACUCUCUCUCACAGGCUGCCCGACCACUGAAACACACACAUCUAUCCAUCUCAUUGUCUGCUCUGCGAACCAGAUAUGCCGCCACUGUUAGCUUUCCUCGGCUGAGGUGGCGACAGACUGGCCCUGUCUAAACGUCAUCAGUGCGGGGUAACCUGUUACUGGUGACAAGGUCAACGAUUGCAAAUGCUCAAGUUCCGCGCGCAGAAUCCCCGGGUCAGAUAGGAAGGAAGAAAACCGGCGCAGUGAUGGGACAGUUUUCGGGAGGAUGCUACCUGAGUUUGGGCAUCGUUGUGUUUCUCUGUUUGCAGUUCCCGACUACCUUGGCCCGAGGUAAGAAAGCCAUUUUAGCAUUCCAUUCUUCGUGUGUGCGUGUGUGUGCCUGUGUGCGCUCCCCUGUAUGUGUGUGUCUGUAUCUGAGUGACAGACAGAGGCUGGUAAGGGAUUGUGCUCCCCAGCAUGUUGACAGUGAAGAUGGCAGUUCAUUAAUCCGGCCUAAAUCCCUCCAAAGUAACUCAAGUGUGGAUUCUAUUUUCACAUUUCCUAUUAGUUCCUCUUUGUGGAUUAAGCAGCGUGGUUCACAGGCGAGCGGCCAGCUCUAGCCCCGUGCCCAGUACAUCUUAUAACUAUAAUUGGCUUGUAAUGGAUUUGGGUUCGCCUUUGCAUCAGUGAUACGGCUAGAUCUGACAGGGGAAAAGACGACUGCUUUCGAGCCUCAAUUUUUUUUCUUUAUGUUUUUUAUAUGUUGGUGCCUCAGGUUUUGGGAUAAUUCCUCUCAUCUCGACACAAUGUCAUUUUUAUUCCUGUGGUGGGGAAUGUGGUGGUGGCGAGGAGGGCAUGCAGAAGGGACGUGACGGGCCUGGAGAUUAAACAUGUCAGGUGUCAGCCAGCCUAGGGCCUCUGUCACCACCUCCGUUUCUACCGCUACCGCCAAGAUCCCCCUUCGGAUUUAGCUGCUGUUCUCUCUCUCUUCCUCAAACAGACACAC